GAGAUAGAGGUCGCAAAAGCAAUCAGUAGCGCAGAUUACGGCACGGAUGAUGCCUGCGCAAAAGGUGCUUUUGCCGAAAUCCGGGAUCGCUUCUCCGAGCGUUUCGGGUUGGGACAUGACAGAAGAUGUCAUGGACUGUCACAUCAAUUUGUUGUGGAGCGCUAUCGGA
rnacentral:ncRNA from 1 species